rnacentral:misc_RNA from 1 species
UGGAUUCAAAAAAUCUAAGCAAGGUCAGUUCUUUUCUUUUCUGGAAUUACACCUAAAUUGAUAUUUUAUUUUUUAUUUUUAUUUGUUAAAAUGUUAACCAAAUCCUGCUCAUAUUGUUAUUUUAUUAGGCUUGAGUUUGUUGAUAUAUGAUUUUGAGUGUGUAGUUUAACUUUUAAGUGGUUAUGAAGUGUGCUAGGGUUGGAGCACACUUAACUGGAUAUGUUAAAGUUUACAGGUUGGGAAAUUUUGAAAUUAAUGGAGUUAGUGUAGGAAAAUUGAAAGAGCUUUAAUGGAUUAGGGAGGAAAAAUAUUCCCAUAGUUAAAUUAUGCUUAUGUAUUUCUUUGUCGCCGAUUUUUUUUC